UGGAAACGAUGGCUAAUACCGCAUACGCCCUGAGGGGGAAAGAAGGGGACUCUUCGGAGCCUUUCGCGAUUGGAUGUGCCCAAGUGGGAUUAGCUAGUUGGUGAGGUAAAGGCUCACCAAGGCGACGAUCCCUAGCUGGUUUGAGAGGAUGAUCAGCCACACUGGAACUGAGACACGGUCCAGACUCCUACGGGAGGCAGCAGUGGGGAAUAUUGCACAAUGGGCGCAAGCCUGAUGCAGCCAUGCCGCGUGUAUGAAGAAGGCCUUCGGGUUGUAAAGUACUUUCAGCGAGGAGGAAAGGUUGGUGGUUAAUAACCAUUAGCUGUGACGUUACUCGCAGAAGAAGGACCGGCUAACUCCGUGCCAGCAGCCGCGGUAAUACGGAGGGUCCGAGCGUUAAUCGGAAUUACUGGGCGUAAAGCGUACGCAGGCGGUUUGUUAAGCGAGAUGUGAAAGCCCCGGGCUCAACCUGGGAACUGCAUUUCGAACUGACAAACUAGAGUUUUGUAGAGGGUGGUAGAAUUUCGGGUGUAGCGGUGAAAUGCGUAGAGAUCUGAAGGAAUACCAGUGGCGAAGGCGGCCACCUGGACAAUAACUGACGCUCAUGUACGAAAGCGUGGGGAGCAAACGGGAUUAGAUACCCCGGUAGUCCACGCCGUAAACGAUGUCAACUAGCCGACCGGACCCUUGAGGUCUGGGUGGCGCAGCUAACGCAUUAAGUUGACCGCCUGGGGAGUACGGCCGCAAGGUUAAAACUCAAAUGAAUUGACGGGGGCCCGCACAAGCGGUGGAGCAUGUGGUUUAAUUCGAUGCAACGCGAAGAACCUUACCUACUCUUGACAUCCAGAGAACUUAGCAGAGAUGCUUCGGUGCCUUCGGGAACUCUGAGACAGGUGCUGCAUGGCUGUCGUCAGCUCGUGUUGUGAAAUGUUGGGUUAAGUCCCGCAACGAGCGCA
rnacentral:rRNA from 1 species